rnacentral:rRNA from 1 species
AUUGAACGCUGGCGGCAGGCCUAACACAUGCAAGUCGAGCGGAUGAAGGGAGCUUGCUCCUGGAUUCAGCGGCGGACGGGUGAGUAAUGCCUAGGAAUCUGCCUGGUAGUGGGGGAUAACGUCCGGAAACGGGCGCUAAUACCGCAUACGUCCUGAGGGAGAAAGUGGGGGAUCUUCGGACCUCACGCUAUCAGAUGAGCCUAGGUCGGAUUAGCUAGUUGGUGGGGUAAAGGCCUACCAAGGCGACGAUCCGUAACUGGUCUGAGAGGAUGAUCAGUCACACGGAAACUGAGACAGGGCCCAAACCCCUAGGGGGGGCAGCGGGGGGGAAUUUGGGAAAAUGGGGAAAAGCCCAAACCAGCCAUGCCGGGUGUGGGAAGAAGGUUUUCGGAUUGUAAAGCCCUUUAAGUUGGGAGAAAGGGCAGUAAGUUAAUACCUUGCUUUUUUGACGUUACCAACAAAAAAAGCACCGGCUAACUUCGU